rnacentral:rRNA from 1 species
AGUGAACGCUGGCGGUAGGCCUAACACAUGCAAGUCGAACGGCAGCACAGUAAGAGCUUGCUCUUACGGGUGGCGAGUGGCGGACGGGUGAGGAAUACAUCGGAAUCUACUUUUUCGUGGGGGAUAACGUAGGGAAACUUACGCUAAUACCGCAUACGACCUACGGGUGAAAGCAGGGGAUCUUCGGACCUUGCGCGAUUGAAUGAGCCGAUGUCGGAUUAGCUAGUUGGCGGGGUAAAGGCCCACCAAGGCGACGAUCCGUAGCUGGUCUGAGAGGAUGAUCAGCCACACUGGAACUGGGACACGUUCCAGACUCCUACGGGAGGCAGCAGUGGGGAAUAUUGGACAAUGGGCGCAAGCCUGAUCCAGCCAUACCGCGUGGGUGAAGAAGGCCUUCGGGUUGUAAAGCCCUUUUGUUGGGAAAGAAAAGCAGCAGGUUAAUACCCCGCUGUUCUGACGGUACCCAAAGAAUAAGCACCGGCUAACUUCGUG